CUUGUACUCCCUCCGUCCGGAAAUGCUUGUCAUUGAAAUAGAUGUACCUAGAUGUAUUUUAGUUCUAGAUACAUUCAUUUUCAUCCAUUUUGAUGACAAGUAUUUCCGGACGGAGGGAGUAUAAA
rnacentral:pre_miRNA from 1 species